rnacentral:misc_RNA from 1 species
UCACCUCUCAUACCUAGUUUUCUAUGUAUGAGCUUUGGACGUUUGCCAUCCGUGGCUCGUCUUAAAUGACUAAGUGGAAUGCGUAAUAAGUUUUCGCUCCCUCCACUCUAAUAACUUUUUA